AACGAACGCUGGCGGCGUGCCUAAUACAUGCAAGUCGAGCGGACAGAUGGGAGCUUGCUCCCGGAAGUCAGCGGCGGACGGGUGAGUAACACGUGGGCAACCUGCCUGUAAGACUGGGAUAACUUCGGGAAACCGGAGCUAAUACCGGAUACGUUCUUUUCUCGCAUGAGAGAAGAUGGAAAGAUGGUUUCGGCUAUCACUUACAGAUGGGCACGCGGCGCAGUAGCUAGUUGGUGAGGUAAUGGCUCACCAAGGCGACGAUGCGUAGCCGACCUGAGAGGGUGAUCGGCCACACUGGGACUGAGACACGGCCCAGACUCCUACGGGAGGCAGCAGUAGGGAAUCUUCCGCAAUGGACGAAAGUCUGACGGAGCAACGCCGCGUGAACGAUGAAGGCCUUCGGGUCGUAAAGUUCUGUUGUUAGGGAAGAACAAGUACCAGAGUAACUGCUGGUACCUUGACGGUACCUAACCAGAAAGCCACGGCUAACUACGUGCCAGCAGCCGCCGUAAGAC
rnacentral:rRNA from 1 species